rnacentral:rRNA from 1 species
AUACGGAGGGCGCAAGCGUUGUUCGGAAUCAUUGGGCGUAAAGCGGGUGUAGGCGGCUUGGCAAGUCGGGUGUGAAAUCCCUGGGCUCAACCCAGGAACUGCACUCGAAACUGCCUCGCUAGAGUCUCGGAGAGGGUGGCGGAAUUCCCGGUGUAGAGGUGAAAUUCGUAGAUAUCGGGAGGAACACCAGUGGCGAAGGCGGCCACCUGGACGAUGACUGACGCUCAGACCCGAAAGCGUGGGGAGCAAACAGGAUUAGAAACCCGAGUAGUCC